GUCCUCACUUCAGCACACACAGUAAAACUGAAAUGAUACAGAGAAGAUUAGCAUGGUCCCUGCACAGGGAUGACACACAAAUGUACGAAGUGUUCCGUAUUUUU
ensembl:snRNA U6 U6 spliceosomal RNA